AUUAAACGCUGGCGGCAUGCCUUACACAUGCAAGUCGAACGGUAGCGCGGGGCAACCUGGCGACGAGUGGCGAACGGGUGAGUAAAGCAUCGGAACGUGCCCUGGAAUGGGGGAUAACGUAGCGAAAGUUACGCUAAUACCGCAUAUUCUGUGAGCAGGAAAGCAGGGGAUCGCAAGACCUUGCGUUCUGGGAGCGGCCGAUGUCGGAUUAGCUAGUUGGUGGGGUAAAAGCCUACCAAGGCGACGAUCCGUAGCGGGUCUGAGAGGAUGAUCCGCCACACUGGGACUGAGACACGGCCCAGACUCCUACGGGAGGCAGCAGUGGGGAAUUUUGGACAAUGGGCGGAAGCCUGAUCCAGCCAUGCCGCGUGAGUGAAGAAGGCCUCGGUUGUAA
rnacentral:rRNA from 1 species